CGCCGUCGGACAGUGUGAAGUCAAAACCAUGUCAAGAUGACGGUCUGAAAAGUGCACAGGUAAUAAAAGUUCAUGGGCCUCAUGCUGAUAUCCAAUUAAGGGCCUUAACGAGAUUUAAUGACCAACCAUUUGAGCGCAGGCUUUGCUUUAUUAUGGAGACUUUACCUCAAAACAAAAAUAGCUGACGGCUAAAUGUAAUUGGGCACGCGUUGUCUUUUAACAGGAGACGGCACUUCGGCGGACCCGCUGCUUUUGGACCAGUAUGUGGCCGUCACGGACUACGAGAAGCAAGAGAGCUCCGAGAUCAGUCUCCGGGUGGGUCAGGUGGUGGAGGUCAUUGAGAAAAAUGAGUCCGGCUGGUGGUUCGUGAGUUCCGAAGACGCCCAGGGCUGGGUUCCUGCCACCUGCCUGGAGGCCCAGGAUGACCCCGAUGACUUCACUCUUCCGGGAGACGAAGCGCCUCGGAGAUUCUGGUCUUUGCCGAGGCACGUGGGCCGCCGUCGAACUUUAGGGGAUCUUAUCAGCACGGGCUUUGGGCAAGGUGGAGCGCAUGAAUUUUCUUCUAUGCCCCCUAUUAACCUGAAAUAUGUGUCUGUGUCUUUGCUGAUGCACGCAACCUACUUGGCUUGGCAUGUCCUGUAUGGAGGGCCCCGCGCAUGUCAAUGAAGUCCUUGCAUUC